rnacentral:hammerhead_ribozyme from 1 species
ACCCAGAUGACGAGUCCCAAACAGGACGAAAUGCGCAUCCUGGAU